AUGUGCUCUGGAAACAUGGUGUUUCUUAUGCGUUGGAUGGUUUUGGUUGCGGCACUGUUAGGUGCUCACAAUCAAAUAAUCCCCUGUCCUCGGGACACGCAGUUUCAAGUUAAUGGGAUUUGUUGCUCUUUCUGCGGCUCUGGACAGUUUAUAGUGAAAAAUUGCUCUGUCAUCAGUCACAUGAGAUAUUCGGGGUGCCGCUGUAAAAAGUGCUCUCAGUGUUCAGGUGAGGGAAUGAAAGUUGGAGUGAGCUGCACACAGUUCUCAGACACCCGGUGUGAAUGUGAGGAUGGCUAUGUCAAGUCUGGUGAUCAGUGCCAAAGAGUGACGGAAACAGAGUGGUCGACGCCAAUGAAGAUCCUGACUACAUCUCCAACUAUAGCUUUGCAUACAAAUGAAAUGCAACAUAAAGCCAUUAAUAUGACCUUUAUUUUUGGUCUCAUUGGACUAAUUUCGCUGAUUUCCAUUCUUGCUGCCUUUAAAUUAGGAUUCCAACAUAAAUCUAACUGGAUGGCUGGAAAAACCAUCAAAAUUUCCAUGCCAGAUGAGGAAGACCCAUUGAAAGAUGGAAUUAAAUGAACCCCAGGGAGAGCUUGUCUUUUGGUCAGACAUCCCACAACGUGUAUUUAAUGUCAGUAUUUUGAUUAUAUUUUAUAUCUAACACCAUAAAGUAUAAUAAAGUCUAGGAAAAGGCAUAGGAUAUUUACAGCAUUUAUCAGACGCCCUUAUCCAGAGCGACUUACAAUCAGUAGUUAGAGGGACAGUCCCUCCCUGGAGCAACUUAGGGUUAAGUGUCUUGCUCAGGGACACAAUAGUAGUAAGUGGGAUUUGAACCUGGGUCUUCUGGUUCACACAUUGUCAAAUGUCAAAAACAUAUUUAUUAAAGAACACAACUUAACAAAAAUGUGAGGUUUACUAUAGUAUUAAAAAUGUAGAGCAUUGCUUACUGUUGUUUACAUUGGGAGUAAAACAAACUUGAAAUUUAACUGGCCGUUAUUGGAACAGUCUAUGCGCAUUCUUUUUUCAAUCUGAUUGUUGUUCAGGCAGCCUGUGCAAGUUUUUUUUUUAUUGUGUACUGGUUAAAUAUGUAGAAGGUGUAAAUGUAGCAGAAAAUAUAAUGAAUGUUUCAAUUAGAGCUGGAUGGAUAGGCCAUCUGUUGACUAUAAUGCACUGUGAAUUAUUCGUUUAGCAAAACAUUCAGACAAUAUGAUUUAGAAUAACACGCAACAUAUAUUAGUGCAAUGUGUCAGGCAGAACAACAAUUUUAGCAGAUUGUUACACUAUUUGUUUUAUUUUUAACUGAAAUGUCCUGUAGCUUUUCUCAUUUUGGUGGUUAGUGAAUAAAAAUGGGAAUUUUAUGUUUAUUUAAAAUAUUUUUAGUUUUUUUGCGCUGAACAAAAUAAAUAUUUCAUUUUUCAAAGCAAUAAU
ensembl:lncRNA